UUGAACGCUGGCGGCAGGCCUAACACAUGCAAGUCGAACGGUAACAGGAAGAAGCUUGCUUCUUUGCUGACGAGUGGCGGACGGGUGAGUAAUGUCUGGGAAACUGCCUGAUGGAGGGGGAUAACUACUGGAAACGGUAGCUAAUACCGCAUAACGUCGCAAGACCAAAGAGGGGGACCUUCGGGCCUCUUGCCAUCGGAUGUGCCCAGAUGGGACUAGCUAGUAGGUGGGGUAACGGCUCACCUAGGCGACGAUCCCUAGCUGGUCUGAGAGGAUGACCAGCCACACUGGAACUGAGACACGGUCCAGACUCCUACGGGAGGCAGCAGUGGGGAAUAUUGCACAAUGGGCGCAAGCCUGAUGCAGCCAUGCCGCGUGUAUGAAGAAGGCCUUCGGGUUGUAAAGUACUUUCAGCGGGGAGGAAGGGAGUAAAGUUAAUACCUUUGCUCAUUGACGUUACCCGCAGAAGAAGCACCGGCUAACUCCGUG
rnacentral:rRNA from 1 species